rnacentral:pre_miRNA from 1 species
CAAAUACUCCCUCUGUCCGGAAAUACUUGUCAUCAAAAUGGAUAAAAGGAAAUGUAUCUAGACGUAUUUUAGUUUUAGAUACAUCUCUUUUUAUCCAUUUUGAUGACAAGUAUUUUCGGACGGAGGG